rnacentral:lncRNA from 1 species
GUUUGAGCACAAAAUAUUUAUAUAGCAUAUAAAUCAGAUGAGAUUUAGGGCUUGUUUGGUUCAAAAGUGGAAUUGAAAUGGAUAAUGGAAUGGAAAUGAAUUGAAAUGGUAAUUGGAAUGACCACUCCCCCAAGACGUUUGGUUUAUUUGUGGAUUGAAAAUUGGAAUGAGUUAUUCACAUUUUCUUGUUUGGUUCGUAUAAACUAAAAAAAUUAUAGAAUACUAUAAGGACUUGUUUGGUUCAAAAGUGGAAUUGGAAUGGAUAAUGGAAUGGGAAUGAAUUUGAAUGGUAAUUGGAAUGGUCACUCCCCCAAGACGUUUGGUUUAUUUGCGGAUUGAAAAUUGGAAUGAGUUAUUCACAUUUCAUUGUUUGGUUCGUAUAAACUAAAAUAAUUAUAGAAUACUAUAAUACUAAUUUUACUCUCAAAUAUAAAUUUAUAUUAUUUAAAUUUAUGAAAAAUAUAAUACUAUUCUCUAAUAAGUUUUUCAAAAAAAAUAUCAAAUUUAUUUUUAAAAACUUUUAUUGAUGUGGGUUAGGGAUAGGGUUUUGAGAGAGGAUAGGUUUUUUGUUUUUAUUUUUUUUAUUUUUUGAUAAGAAAGGGGUGAAGAGAAGGAGGGUGAGAUGGUCACAUGAGCUUCGAGAACUUAGUGGGCUUCCGGAAUGAAAUCUCAAUCCGGACUAGAAGAACAGAAUCAAGUUGAAGACUAAUGGGUUAUUCCCAUUCCAGUCCGGAAUAGGAAUCCCAAACCGAUUCAUGCGAACCAAACAAUAUUAACCGGAUUUGAUCAAACCGAUUCUCAUUCCAUACCCAAAAUGGAUGAACCAAACAAGCCCUUAAUCGAGUUGGAUUCGAUUCAAUUUUAUAUUCAAUCUGAUCAGGGUUGAGCUAAUCAAAUAAGAUUUAAUUCACCUAGUCCCACUUGAUUAUCAUGUUCAAUAUGGUAGGAUUUAAGUCAAAUCAAUUUAAGUUAAUUGGAUCGGAUCAAAUAUAAUUUAGUUGCACUUGAUCCGAUUCAAUCUUGUUGAGCUCAAGUCAAAACCACAUUAUAUAAAUACCUUCCAAAUCCAUGUUGAUAUAUUCUCGUAAACUGAAUUUGUGCUCAGUUUAAAUUAAAGUUUUUAAAUUUUCAUCAUUCAAAUUUCAAACUUCAUCCCAUUCCAUCCAAAUAUCAUAUUCAAAAUUCAAAACUAAAUUUGAAUUUUGAAAUUUUGAAGCCUCAACUGACUCCCAAAUAUAUCUCUUUUUCCAUACAACUCCAAUCGCAUCCUUAUCCAUUCAAAAUUUAAUUUUAAAUUAAAAAAAAAUCCUAAACCAACCCCCAAAUAUCUCUCUUCCACCAACUACUUCAUUUAUAAGGAAUAAUAUCUAAUAUGCCCUUCAAAUCUUCAAAAAUAUUUUAUUUAUUUUU